rnacentral:misc_RNA from 1 species
AUGAAACUUCAGUCGGCUCGCUUUCAGUGCUGGUGGUGACACAUGUGCACGUCAGCAAGUCGCAAAAUCCACAAACCCGUGCAUCCUAGGACUCCGAGUGGGCCCUUUGGUUGGCCAAAGGGACCCUUGGAGUAUUUUUUACACAACCAUGAAUGUAAUGGAAUGUCAUCUGUGCAAUAUGUACAACCAAAA